AAUGAACGCUGGCGGCGUGCUUAACACAUGCAAGUCGCACGAGAACGCUUCAGCUUGCUGAAGCUAGUAAAGUGGCGCACGGGUGAGUAUCGCGUGGGUAAUCUACCCUUCGGUCGGGAAUAACGUUGCGAAAGCGGCGCUAAUGCCCGAUAACAUUUCGGCGGCCUUGGUUGCCGAAAUCAAAGGUGGCCUCUCCAUGGAAGCUACCGCAGGAGGAUGAGCCCGCGUCCCAUUAGCUUGUUGGCGGGGUAACGGCCCACCAAGGCGACGAUGGGUAGCUGGUCUGAGAGGAUGGCCAGCCACACUGGAACUGACACACGGUCCAGACUCCUACGGGAGGCAGCAGUGAGGAAUUUUGCGCAAUGGGCGAAAGCCUGACGCAGCAACGCCGCGUGGGUGAUGAAGGCCUUUGGGUCGUAAAGCCCUGUCAAGUGGGAAGAAUCCGCAUGAUGUGAACAAUAUCGUGCGUUGACGGUACCACUGAAGGAAGCACCGGCUAACUCCGUG
rnacentral:rRNA from 1 species